rnacentral:rRNA from 1 species
GAUGAAGUGUCGUACCGACGAGAAAUCAACUUAUCGUGUGCGAACUUGUGGGCGUGCGUGAGUUUCGGCCUCGCUGUUUGUAUGUUUGUGCGUUUUGGGUGUACUUUUUCGUAUGGUAGGCCAACGUCAGUUUCGAUCACUAUAAAAUGACCGGCGGAAUGUAGCUUCGAUCUCGGUUGAAGUGUUAUAGCCUCUGGUAGAUGUGGUGAUUGGGACUGAGGAUUGCAACGAAUAUCCUUUGGGCUAUCCGUCUGAUCUCUGAAAGUUGCUCAGGUGCCGAAAGCGUGCUUAUGGUCAUCUAAGUUAACGGUCAACAGGUUAGAACGUGAUUACAUUCGUU